rnacentral:rRNA from 1 species
ACAACGGAGAGUUUGAUCCUGGCUCAGGAUGAACGCUAGCGGCAGGCUUAACACAUGCAAGUCGA